CAAACGAGGAUUUACCCCAAAAUAUGUGUUGAUCACUGCAGAUUAUGAAUUAGAGUGGAUUUGAUUAUUUGUGUUGUGGGUUUCAUGAUUAUGGAAAAAAGUCAGGAGAAUGUGUGAUGACACGUGGCUCUUUAGGAUGAUUACCUGUAUAGCAGCCCAGGUGGUGGAGUGGUCAUGGUUUGUCGUGGUCAAUCGACUGAGCUCGUAUCAUUUCCUUGACCCGAAAUCGAUUCAGUUGUUUUAGAUUUCUGUAAAACCCUUAAAUAGUUUCGGUUUACAAUACGGUUGUUUAAACCCUUGUUAAUCUGAAUACCAAACAAUUUACAAAGCACUACUUAAUAAUUUUACAAAAAUUUGUAAAUAUAUAUAUUAUCAAUUCAAAAACCAUUUUAAUAAAUUAUUUUCAUGCUUUUGAAAUAUUUAAUAAUUAAUUAAUUAUUAAUAAAUUAUAUAAGAUAAAGUUUUUUAUUAAAAUAUUUUUAUUACGUAAAAUAAAAUUGAAAACAUUCAUACAUACAUAAAUAAUAUACGUUUAUUUAUAUAUAUUUUUUUUUAAAAUAUUCAAAAGAUUAUGAUGUAAAAUAUUUUUUUUGGAUACAUAAUAUGGAAUCUUUUUAGAUAAUGAUGAUUAUCAAAUUCAUGAAAUUUGUUUUUUUAAUUUAUGAGUAAUUAUAUAUAACAAAUCUAAUCAAAUUAUUUAUUAAAGGUAAUAAAUAUUUUAAAAUAUAAUUAAACUUAAAAUUAUGGAGAAUAUGACAAAUCAACAAAUAAUAAUAUAGAUAGCUAACAGAUGUUAAGGAUGAGCAAUAAUAGUAUCUCAAAGGAGUUUUUUUUGAAAGAAGUAUCUCAAAGGAGUUUCACCCAAAAAUAUGUGUUUUCUUGGACAAAGAUGUUAUUUCAUUCUACUAAAAGUUUUUUGGUGCAAUAUAGUAACCAAAGUUACUCUCCAUUACCGGAAAAGGAAAACACAGCUGCUACAAAGAUCAAAGCAUUUAUAUCUAAAGAAAAUGCAUAAACAAAAUCACCAAAGUAAUUCAAAUAACGAGGGGAUAAUCAGGAGAUAGAAAACACUUGUAAAGAACAACAUUCCUAUAAACUCAACGGUGGCUUCGAUUGAUUUGAAGCGUUUUACAGUGACCUGACGGUUCAAGAGCAUUUGCAGGACCAUAACGAUUUCUUCCAAUGUUGAGAAGAUGGUGUUUUUAGUGCCAAACCUUUGAUGUCGACCCUUACUGCCACUCUACAGAACCGGACAUGAGAUUUUCGCGCAAGGAAACUUCAUGAGCCUUUGAAGACAACUUUCCCAAACGAAAUGAGAUAGUUAAUCUACCAACAACCAAGAACAUCUGUAUGACUCGUUUGUUCACAAAUGUGUUGUUCUUAACAAGAGUUCUAUUAUACAUGUGCCUUGUUUGUGGUUGGAUUAUCUUUACCAUUAUGACUCCUUUGUGGAGAUUUGUGUUGCAUCAAAUUCUCCUUUUGUUUGGAAACCUUUUAAUGCAGGGAUCCUACUAUAUAAAAGAAGCUAAUUUGGGAUGUUCUAAAGGGUGCCACAUGGGCAAAAUAAUCCCCACCUAUCAUAUUGCCAUGUCACUAUGGGCUGGAUCUCAAACCAAUUUGAAAUUCCGGCCCAACCUUGCCCAUUCCGGCCCAACCUUAAUUCUCCUACUACCUCCUUCCCGUAACCUAAUCCUCCACUCUACCAAAAGGCCAUAGCUUUCUCAAGAAGGAUGGAUCGAUCGUAAGACAUGGAAGGGUUCCUACUCCCUCAGUUUUUCACCCUAUAUAAACUCCUACUCAUAUUCUCUGCUCAACACAAAAUCACAUAAACCCAUAAAAGCACAUCCGGUGCUGGCUAUCAAAGCAGCGAAUCUCUUAGUUGAUAUCAUGUUUAAUCCACGGACUGGAGUUGGCUCUUCUUUUGUCAUCUUGAGCGAGUCGAUGUCUCGGUCGCUACUACUGUAGUGACGGCGAUCAUUUCGAUGGUGAUUAGAGUCUGAAAAAACUGAUGACAUGUCUGAGGAUGACGAAAAGGAAGAAGACGGAAAAGCGGCCAUUGUUUCAGAGGACAGUUAGAUCGUAAGGGUUCUUGCUCAAAUAUUGUCUCUGAUACAAUAUCUAUCUUUUUCAGGUUUGUGCAGGAAUAUUACAUACAAACCGAUGGAUCUUCAGUCAAAUAAUGUCUUAAAAGCAGCUACUCAAAUAAGUCUCUGAGUCUCUGAGACCAGAAGAAACUUAAAGCGGAGCCAGGCUAUUGAAGCACAUCCUGCUUUAUUUUCUCAGUUUAGGGUAAAGUAUGUUGUUCCUUUGUGAAUUCAUUUCAAGUCUAAUAUUUAACUGCAGUAUGAAAAAACAUUAUUAAUGAUAUAUACCUAGGAAUGUGAUCUCCUUCUAUUAUUAUAUUCUUUGAAUUCAAGAGCUUCAAUGCUGGACAGAUCACAGCAGAAUCAUUUAGCUUGGUGCACAAACAGGCUAGGUUUCUCCACUGCUUGAUAUUUUCAUGGUUAUUUUGCAUCUUUCGCUACAUUUGUAGGAAAUAGUUUUUUUUUUGCAGGAAAACCAUCAGUUUCAAAUAGGCAGGCAGAUCCCUUUUCCCCAAAUGCAUGUUUGUAGUUGCAUUACAAGUUAAUUUAACUUCCGUAGUUUCUGGUGAAAAAUCAUAGCACCUUUUUUUCCCACAGGUCUCUCACAAUUUCACUUGGUAUAUGUCAUCACUAAGCUUGGCAUGUUAUUUGUAUACAAUUUAGACACUGCUUCUGCUAAUCUACAGAAAUCUGAUAAGUCCACACCCAAUUUUAUCGGACUUUUGAAGCUUUCUGAGUUGGAGGGUUUUAUGCCAGUUAGACAAGUUCUUUUGGCUAAAAAUCUACAGUAAUACCUUUUAUUAGUGGUCCAGUGUGCAUAACCUUGUUUUCAGUUUUUCACAGUAGAACUAUCUAUUUCAACUUGCCAUGUGAAGAAUACUAUGCUAUUGUACAACAGUUGAACAAUUUUGAAAAUCUGAUUUGUUUCCUUGGUUCAGAUGAGUGGACCUGUUCUCUUGCUGAAAUAUUUAUAGUUAACGAACAGAACCCGGUCUUAAAUUUUCUGUUCUAGAAACUUUUUGCACAACAAUUUGUAGCUUUCGUUUCUAUAGUUGAUGUGGUUUUUAAUCUUUCCAAUUUUUUAAAAUGGAGCAAGAUUUUUCGUAGGUGGAUUUUUUUUUUGCUGCAGUGUAUGUAACAAAAUAGAAAGAGUUCUUUCCCCAAAGAAAAUUAGAAUUCAGCUCAAAAGUUGUAAUGUAUGUGCAUCAGCAGAAAUGCUUCAAAGUUCAAAUGUAUCUCGCAUGGAAACAACAGGUCUGUAAGACAUUUUGACCUCAGGUGAUGAUGAUGAUAGGUGGUAGGUGGUUUCAGUGGCAAUGAUAAUGAGGAUAGGUGGCAGGUGGUGAUGGUACAGUUGAUUUGGUUCUUGGUUAUCUCGAUGAGAGACAUAAAGAAUGGCAUGAAGCUUUUGAUAUACACAACUUUGCUAUGUAAUUUUUAAAAAUUCUUAUAUCCAAAUUAUAAUAAAAAUAUAUGUUUUAUACAUGGAUAAUAACUUGAUCAUAAAAUAAGAAAACAUGAUGUACAACAAAAAAAAAA